rnacentral:rRNA from 1 species
UACGUAGGGAGCAAGCGUUGUCCGGAAUCAUUGGGCGUAAAGCGCGCGUAGGCGGCCCGGUAAGUCCGCUCUGAAAGUCCAGGGCUUAACCCUGGAAAGCGGGUGGAUACUGCCGGGCUAGAAUCCGGAAGAGGCGAGUGGAAUUCCCGGUGUAGCGGUGAAAUGCGCAGAUAUCGGGAGGAACACCAGUAGCGAAGGCGGCUCGCUGGGCCAUUCCUGACGCUGAGACGCGAAAGCUAGGGGAGCGAACAGG